GCCCCUUGGAUGAUCUGCUGACUUGCUUUUGGGAUCCAGUUUGCUUGAAAUAAGGGAAGUGGAAGCAUAUUGGACCGAUGGCUGUUCAUGUGGAGGAUUAGCAGGAGUUGGGUAUGGAAUAAAGGUUGAGCAAGGACUAGGAAUUACAUUAGGAUUUUGAUUUCUAAAGAAGGGAAAUGGCUGCAUUGAUGGAUGCAUGGGAAUUGGACCAGGUGGGACAGGUAAGGGGACUGGAUAUGGAUAAGUAGGACCCAUGACAACAGAAGGAUCAACGGCAGGCCAUGGAAACAUAACCCUGAGCCUUUGUUGACACUGAGAAUUUAAGUUUUCAAUAUCAGAUUUUAAAGAUGCCUUUUCUUCUCUCAGCUCAUUCUUCUCCUGCAUUAGCUCAUGUGAUUCUUCCGAAAGUGCAGUGUAAUCAGCCUUUAGUCUGCUGACUUCAGCUGUUAGAUC
rnacentral:misc_RNA from 1 species